AUAGGGUUAUAGUAUGUAGUUAUCGCAAAGUUAAGUUUGACAGUUACGCGCGUUUCGCGGUUGAUUACUGGGAAGUAUGCAGUUUGAUUUGAUGCAGUGAAUAAGAGCUGAUGUUUACUCUUUAAGUGAAAUCGCCAUGUUACUGUUUAUGAAAUUAAGUUAGAAAUUUAUAUGUAGUGAAAAAUUCCUGUUAAGAUAUUUCUGUAGGUUAUGCAUCUUUCGAUGUAGCUUAAAGAAGGUGUGUAGAAUCUCGAAACUCGCCGUGUCCUGUGAUUGUGUUAUAAUACACGUAUAUGUAUUAUUUGUUGCAGGAUAAAUGGGAAAAAAGGAAUUUUGCACUUCCCCAGGGUUUUCGUCAUCCAGUAGGCAGACAGGUUUGAAACUCUUCAACUUUCCCAGGUAUUCAGCACGGGCUAUGGUGUGGGCAGGAAGAGUUGGGAUAUCCUGCACUAUUGAUUCUGCUAGAAUGCUGCACUGUACAUUUUUGUGCAGUAGAAAGUGAUUUCACUACAGCUGAACAGAUUUGCUGUUCCAUGUAGCUCAGAUUCUGCAGCACAAUCACUCCCACAAUCUCCUGAUCCAUCAUUACACACCAUUUCAGGAGGGUGCUGCAGUGAAUACCUGGCGACAGCAGCGCAUAUUGAGGAGGCUGACAAACUCUUUGAGAGGUUAAAUGGUGGAACGCCUGUUGACCCUUGAGAGCACUGUGUUGCUCACUAAGCGAUAACAGUCCACAGUAUAGAGCACUGGUUAUCCGCUUCAGCAAGAAAUACUGACAAGCAGGAUCAGUAUCAGGAUUUAGUGUGGGCUGAAAUCACAAUAAUGUUCAAUAAAAUGGAAGAACCAAAAGAUUUUGUAACACGGCUGCAAGUAGCCAAGGUAAUGGUUUCCGCAUACUCUGCAAGUGGUAGAAAGAGAAUAUGGUGUUUAAGAAAAAGUAAAGCUGGGUUAGGCAGUAGUGUAUAUAAAAUAGCGAGACAAAAUGUGGAUCAUUCAACUAUAAAGACUACUGUAUAAAAAAUAACAUAAUGAAUGUGGGGUGUAUGUUACUCCAUAUUCCUGUUAACCUGUGCUGUUUGCCAUGGAAUAAAGUGUUAUGUAUGUAGGUUAGCAGUCAGAGUCUGUGGUACAUAAAAAUUUUGCUUCAACGAAUGGGCGUAGAAAGUGUGCUGGAGCCAGUAUUGCAAUAUGUACCUUUACCAAAUAAAUUUCAGAGUCUAGAACAGACAGCAUUUAGUGUAGCUGUAUAUUGUGUUUAUACCAAGUGCAGUGUGUUACUAUAGAUGUAACUGUGUUUCCAGAACUUUUCAAGAAAUUGAUGGUAGGUAUUUUUGACUAACUUUGUUUUUGUAAGCAAGAAAAUGUGGCAUAUAUACAGGAAUUUAUUUCAGCAUACAUUUAGGCUCCAAUUCAAUAAUGAUAUAUCUAAGCAUAACAAUUUCUUAUUGGAAUUCCAGUGGGUAUUAAAUUAGUGCAGUAUUUUUCUGCAGCUUCUUUCAGUGCUUCAAGAUCUGGGACCAUGAUGUUCGUGGCUAUCACAAGAGUAUGUGGAGACUGCAUAUGAAGGGCAGCGAAAUGCUUGUCAUUGGAGUCCCAAACUCAGAGUAUUCAUAAGUAAAAAUUUUCUCAUAAAGUUUCUGUAGUUUCUUUCUCAAGGACUAAUAGAUAUGUUAGCCCAUCUCACAACUAAAUUUACUGCUACUAAAUCUGAUUUUGGUGAAUUUCUUAAAGAAUUUAUAUAGUAGAUAUCAAACCAUGACAAGACACAUUGGUUCUCUGUGUAAGUUUGAAAAUUAAGAGCUCAAUGAAUAAAAAAACAUCUCACUUGCAGCACAGCACAAAUCACUCACAUGUUGUAUUUUGAACGCAAAGUCAUGUUACGACAGGCAGUCAGCCAUUAAGUUUGUCCUGGUAUCAAGCCCCAUUCUAUGUCCCAUGACCAGAUUUCUGCUUUUUGUCAUUAUGUGGCGUCCUCUCUAACUGUCGUAUGGGGCCAUACCCACUACUAUAUUUCAGGCCUUGUAAAAAUCAUUUUAUUAUCUCAGAAAUAAUGAUUUAGUAUGCUAGCUAUUUGCCUGAGCAUGUUCUUGACCUAAAUAAUUUAGCAAAAUAUUUUUAAAAUUUGAUUUGGAAUUUAAAUCACAGUGGAAGUCCUUGCCAUUGUAAAAUAUGAAGAUAUUGGUCUUGAAUUUAAUAAAUAAUCAUGAGAAAAUAAAUCAGGCAUUUGGUGAAUAUGUAGUGUGAGAUGAGACAAUUUAUAUGUUCUCCACUUUGCUUUAAACUUAUGCAGUAAUUAUUUAAUUUAGGUGAUAUACAGUGUACACCCAGCAGUAUAGUUGGGCACGCUUUCUGUUAACACAUUGAGUUAUGCUUUGUAACCUUGGUUUUGUUUCAGAAAAUAUAAGCCUCUGAAUGUUA